rnacentral:rRNA from 1 species
UUUGUCUACCUGACCACUGUUGCUUCGGCGAGCCCGUCUGUAAUGGACCGCCGGGGGGUACCUUGAUCGGCCCUCUGGUCCGCGCUCGUCGAUAGCCAAACUUUUUAAAAUCUUAACCAAACGUGUCUCAAUCUAAGUAUUAUUUGUUAAAUAAAAGCAAAACUUUCAACAACGGAUCUCUUGGUUCUGGCAUCGAUGAAGAACGCAGCGAAAUGCGAUAAGUAAUGCGAAUUGCAGAAUUUCAGUGAGUCAUCGAAUCUUUGAACGCACAUUGCGCCCUUUGGUAUUCCGAAGGGCAUGCCUGUUCGAGCGUCAUUAUCACCCCUCAAGCCCCCGGCUUGGUGUUGGACGGUUUGGUGGAGGCCCCCUCGCGGGGCCACCGCCCCUCCCAAAGACAAUGACGGCGGCCUCGUUGGACCCCCGGUACACUGAGUUCUUCACGGGACACGUAUCGGACACAUGGGUUUACGGGACACGGUCUGCCUCCCCUCAGGGAGAAUCUUUCUAAGGUUGACCUCGGAUCAGGUAGGGAUACCCGCUGAACUUAAGCAUAUCAAA